GUAAAUCUGAUGAGAGAAAUAACCACAUGGUCAGGUGGGUGGACUGGAGUCCCACAUGGAUCUAUGUGCUCUCCCCACUCGGUGCUGGUGCCAAAGGACUAGCCUUCUGUUAGUCACGAGCAUUUUCUGAGAUUGUUCAGUCAUUUUCUUCUCUACUGAAGGAAUUUAGGCAGAAGCUGGAGUUGGGAAAGGAAAGAAAACUAACAUUUUGAGCCGUGUUACUGUGUCAGGCAGUUAAUUCUCACAGUUCUAUCAGGUAGCUAUGAUUGUUGCCAGUUCUUUCUCUUCAGAAACCGAGGUUAAGUAGCUCAGUUAAAACCACCUGACUCCAUUCUGCUGCUGGGUAUUUCUGGGCUCAUUUACAACCUGAGUGGCCACCGCUGUGGAGACCUCGGCCUCCAGCUGGAGGGGCAAAAACAACGUGACACCAAAUUUAGCUGCUCUCCGGAGAGCCUGCCUGUCCUGCGGUAGGUAGCGCGGCUGGGCGAGAGCCCCCCUCGGCUGUGCUUCGCAGACUCGGGGAGCGGCCCGGCCCCUGCCUCUUCUUCAGCCUCUCUCUCCGCUAAUCCCCUCCUGGUCCUCUCAGCUCCUGCCAGACGCUUCCUCCCACACCUUUGCCCACGUUGCUCCUUCUGCUUGGAACAUCUCCUUCUCUCCUUGCCGGGCUGUUCGCUCUUGGCUCCGUGGGACUCGGCUUGGGCACCAGAACCUCCCACCAAGGCCUCUCCUGAACCCUCAGCCUGGGCCCCUCACAGGGCGUAUAGCACGGGAACAACGAAUGUGAACUCUGGCGUUAGACCUGGAUUCACAUCCUAGCUUGGCCAGCUUUUUGAACUUAAUCUUUCUCAGCCUCAGCUUCCUUAUCUGUAACAUGAGGACAGCAACACCUACCGCACGGAGCUGUCGAGAGGAUUAAAUGAGUUAAGGUACAGCGCAUAGCACAGGGCCCAGCGCCCGCAAGAUGCUCAGUGAAUGUUUGCCAAGUGAAAGUACAAACCGAGACAAGUGGCUACAGCUGAAGAGUGAAAUGAUGGCGGCACUUACAGGAAAAGAACUGUCAGCUGGAACUCAGUUUUGUGACGUCAUCCCAGGGUCGAGAACAUGGUUGCUUGUUGGGCCCAAUCUAACGCUGGACGCCAGAAAACUAUCCUCAGUGGUGGAGUGAAGCUGGGCUUGUUAUCUUGCUUUACAGAUGAGGCAACAGAGGCUCAAGACAGAUAGAGGCUUGCGCAGUCAAGCCGGAGGGGGCCUAUCGGGAAGUGGCAGAGCCGGACCCGUCUCUGCUCUCUCCCCAGCUGGACCGUGGCCUGCAUGCCCUGCUGGUUCCUCCCUGGUCUCACCCCCAGACUUAGCUCUUCAAGGAAGCCUUCUCUGACUGCUCCAGCCCACAUGGUUUCCUCCAUGAACUCCCUGGAUUCAAAGCACUUAACUGGCUGUAUCCUGGGCACAGAAGCCUUGUGACAUGUCUGGAGGUGUCUUGUGUGAUCUGCUUCCUAAGUACAUGAACAGAGGCAAGUCACUUAACUUCGUUGAGCUUCAGUUUAACUAUAAGACGGGAAUCAUAAGAUGUGGGUUAUAGAGUUGUUCUGAGGACUGAGAUGACCUAUGCUUGGGGGUGGAAAGCAGGGCCCUCCAGGUAGUUCCCUCCCAGCCACUCUGCACAUUUCUGCCCCCUUCUAAUGCUCCCCACAGGCCCUUUCUAUGGUAGCUGCUCGAAUGUUUGGAGUCUGACAGUCUAAGCCAGAGCUAUGUACUCAUCCCAGAGAGAUGGGGCAUUCUGAGCGGGCCUGUGCCAUGAGCCCCAUUACUGUGCUGAUAGAUCUGAGGUACCAGCAAAGGAAAUACUAGGUGUCACCCUAAUCUGCAUCAACCUAAUCUUUGGAGGAGUCAGAAGUCUCAUGGUGACCCUGGACCCCCCGUUCCAGAUGAGCUUCUCCAAGGGAUUGUAUGGUUGCAAAGCUUUCUCUCUGGCUGUCAGAGCACAAGCGAAUUUCUGACACUGCAGUCCAGUGGCCAACCCAGGAAACACUUGCACAGAAUACAAAUACCAAUAUGAUUUUAUUCAAACACAGGCAGGAACAAUGACCUUCAGAGCUGGGUAAAAACAAUAAGUUAAAAGCAUGGUUAGAGUUUCAGACAAUCAGAUAAAAAGUUUGAAGGAGAUAAUUUCCCCCUCCUCUCCUACUGAUUAUUUCAACACAGCAUAAAAAUAAUUUUAUCUAUAAAAUACCCUUAUUCCCAAGCAAAUGAACUGGAGGUCGGCCCCAGGAUUUCCCUGGCUAUGCACGAGGCACAACAUCUCCACCCACCCUCCCCAACCCCUUUAAGGCAAAAGGGCCUAUUAUAUUCAGGCAGAGGGUAGGCUCCUGUCAGCAGGAGGCUCUGGUCAAGGACACUGGGAGGAGUUUCCCAGCCGAAAGAUGCCCGCUUGGGUCCCUUGGUCUAAAGACGGGUGGGCCACUUGGGCACUGGAAUCCACCAUUUCUAGCCUUUGCCUCACCAUCCGAGGAGGAAGCUGAAGUCCUGGCAGGUGGACACUGGGCUGGUCUGUGACGCUCCUCUAGUCUGGGCUGACUGGUGUCCAGGGACAAGGCUGGUGGUGGCUUCAGGGCUUUCACAGCCCUGAGGGAGGCCAGACAAGGCUGAGGGUGAGUGGGUGGGUGGUCCUUCCCUCAGUAUCUUGGGCUGCAUUAGUCUUUCUGGGAGUAUCGGGAAGAAAAUAUUCGUGCAAUCCUGCGAGUUUCUUCCUCAGACAGGCUGGGAGGCAGCGAGUUAGGUCUGGGACGACAAGGCCUUUGGGACAGGGCUCCCCCGGUGGUCUCGCUCUUGCCCUGGAGAGAAGGAGGUCAGCUAGGUUAGCACUGCACACAUGGCACUGCCUAAAGAUGACUUUGACUCUUCUUGUCUUUUGGUCCUUUGGCUAAUACUGGUAUAGAGCUGACUGAUUUGCAAAGCACUUUACAUACCUGAGUGUGUUUAACCCUCGCCUCGACCCCAUAGGUUGGUUCCCAUGUCAUGGAUGAGGCAACUAAAGUUCAGGUGAAAUAAACUCAAGGUCCCACAGCUCGGAGUAGCAGACCUAAGAUGUAAACCCCUGUUCAGACUCCUUCUAUGCCUCUGGAGAAGGAGGGGCAGUCUCCUCCAGGACAUUCCUUCUCUUGCUGCAUGUGUCUAGACAAGUCAUUUGUCCUCGAAGCAUGACUGUCCCAUGUGUGACCCUGCCAGGGAGAAGAUGCUGGUGAAAAAUACACUAUCUGUGUGGCCCUGGGGAGUUCCUGGAGCUGCCAGGUGUCAUGAAGCACACACCCACAGCCCUGCUACCAAACAUCUCCCGGUCUUGGGCUGACUGGGUAUCACGAAUUUCCCCUUGAAGGUGUGUGCAUUUGGGUUAUGAUGUCGUGGUCCUUGGACUCCUCUAUGACUCACCCAUUUGCUCCUCUAACCCUUUUGUUUGCUUGUUUCUGUGCUUACUCUGUGCCAGGUUCCUGCCCUGAAGGAGCUCAAAGGAUACAGGAAAGCCACCCCAGGCAGGUGGCUGACAGCAAGGCCCCAGGGAAGAGGUGGAGGCCUGGUAGAGGAAGAGGCAGUGCUGAAAGGACAUGGGAGUUGCCCCGACAGGCAAACGUGGCUGACUCCACAGCGUGCAGCCUGUCCCCAAAUACUGAAAGCACACGCACCACUCCCUACGCCCCAGGAAUCAGCUUGGUGGAGACCCUAGAGAUUAAGACUACUUCCCUGCCCCUUAGUAAUUCUGCUAAUGGGAAACUGAGGCCCAUUGCUUGUGGGAGUAGAGUUGCUUGUGGGAUCAGCAAUAUUCAGUAAUUCCUUCUUUCCUUCACUUCUUUAACCUUCUUACUGCCUACUGUGAGAGGGAGAUAGAGAUGAACAGUUCUCAAUCUCCAUAGCUCAGAGUUAAACUGGGGAGACAGAGAGAGCUAUUCAAAGAAUUAGAAUAGUAGCCAGGAAGUGAUAGGGGGAAUGGAAGUCAGGCAACCUUGAGGGUCCCUGCCAAUCUGGAAUUCUAAAUGCCAAGGGAGUGCAUACAACCUGACAAGCUCUCAGCGCUGACAGCCCACAGGCAGGUUCUCUUUGCUGGAGAACCAACAGCAAAGCGAAGCUAGGGGCUGGACAUGCCCAGCAGAGGUGAGUACAUACAGCUCCCCCAUCGUCCAGGCAGGCCUAGGCUAAAAGGGGAGAAAGGAAACCCACCCUGUGCUGGUGUUUGUAGUUCUUCCUUUCAAAACAUGGGAGGCACCUGCACCCCAUAAUGCCUCAGGCUGGGGAGGCCAGCCACCCAGCCACUGCCUGAGGCCCUCUCCCUCCAGACUGGAUGCUCCUGCAGGGCAUGGCCUGUCUCUGAUGCUUGUGACUCCCACUGAGACAGGUCCAAGAUGGGAGCUUGGUAGCUGAUAGACCAGUGAAUGGGUCAAGCCACGGUGACCAGAGGCUUAAAUUAAUUGGGGAGGAGACUGCCUCUUGCAGCAAAUAUCUCAUUCAGUCAUUCUUUCAUUCAUUCCAGAACCAGUGAUUGCUCAAGCUAGAGGGGAGACGAAUGCUGACCUACCCAGCAAUCCCAAAGAGGAAGCUUAGAGCCCGGGAGCACAGAGAAAGAGCAAUUCAUUCAGAAAGGGCGGCUUCACGCAGAGGUGGGAUCUGAGACGCGCAGGGUUUCAGCAGAGCUGUGUGUGGGGUGAGGUCACCGCACUGCAGGGGCAGCAUGAGCACAGGCCUGCACCUGCUAGCUGGGCUGACAUCUGUGAACCAGCCACAGCCAACCUCGCAGUACCCACACCUGGGCCCAGCCACCUAGGGGGCCUUACCUGCAUGGCCCAGGCCCGGGGACAGGACGGGGUUUGGCUCUGUGUACUGGGCAGGGCAGAGCUGUGGAAGGCCAGCAGCAUGUGGCUUUUGUUGACCUCAAAAGGGUCUAAAAACCAUCUUGACUAGUAGUAAAGUCUCUUUCUUCGUCAGGGUUGCUAUCCCGAGACAUACAGCCUUGGCGGGGCUGGGCAGAGGUGUAGCUGCCCACGCAGGGACACCACUCCAUGUACCCACCGCUCCUCUGAAAAUACUCCCAUGCUCCUGCUGGAGCUCUGGGGGCACCAGCAAACUGUCACCAUAGCAUAUGGUUUGAGGAGCCUCAGCCUCCCUGGGGAGGCAGGAGGAGCCCACAUGGAAGCACGACCAUCAGACUGAGGGGCUGCAGGGGCCUUGGGGUCUGGACAGUGGGUGUCAUACGUGGGGUGAAGUCCCUGGAAGGGUACUUUCAAGAAGACGGACUUGAAACAUGAAGGUGGAAUCUGAACAAAGAGUAUGAGAGAGGAUAUUCCAGGUAGAGUCUUAGAUUGAGCAAAGGUGCGGAGAAGGAAUUUAUUUGCUGGGAAAGCCAGGGGGAUGGGACUGGUUGACUGCAGGUAUGGAGAGCGGAAGACAAACCCAGCAAGGGAGGGGCUCAAGUUCCUGAAUGUCUGGGAGGAACUGACCAUAUUCCUCUUGGACUUUCCAGUGAUCAGGGGGCGUGGGGCUGACCCCUGUCCUGGGGUGAAGGACAGAACAGGCUUUACUGUGGUCUGGGUGUUAAGCCUGGCAGUAUAUGAGGGGCUCUGAUUGUCCCUUUAAAUCCAUCCAGCUCUCCUAUUAACUUCUCCCACUUCCAAAUAUGGGGACCUGCUCUUUUCUGGGCACCUGGACACCCAGGCUUCUCGGCCUAUUGUUUGAGACAGACGUCUCAAAGGAGCCUUCAAUGUCAAAGGCAGAACUCCAGCAGGGAGAAAAUAAAGCAUCAGGGGAGGAGUAAGGAGCAGUGGUGGCAGGAAAAUAUAGGGCUUCCAGGGGUUCCUCACACCAAGAGGCUAACCCUGGUGGGGGAGUGGCUCUAGUCCUGGCUCUACCACUUCUUAGCCAAGUGGCUUUGGGCAAGUCACUUCCUCUCUGGGCCUUGGUUUCCUUAUCUGAAAACAGAUCAGGAUGAGCAGGUAAUACAGGAGGAGGCACCCUGUAACCCAGGGACUUACCCCGGCCCAUGGCUCCCUCUUUGGCCAGCUCCCUGUGAUAGCAUCUUCUCCAAACACUCUCUCAGGAGGCUCCAGCCCUCUUCUUUGGCCUCGAAAUGUGAGCUGAUUCAAGCCACUGUGUUCUGGGUUCCCUCCAUCUAGUCCCCAGAUGGGUAUCCCUACAUAGACCACAUGUUUCCAGGAGGGUGGUAGGUGCAGGCACCCCCAUUUACCCCUGCUUCUGGGUGUCCCUGGGACUUUCUCAGAGGGGAGGCAGUGGGGUGGAGUGGAAGGAACACUGGUCUGUGGCCCAGCCCAACUGCCCCACUUGCUUGAGGCCAGGACACUUUGUCUCUCUGGGUCUCAGUAUCUUCAUUACCAAGUGGAGCUGAGAACUUGUUUGCCUCUUUGCCCCAGGUCUACCGUGAAGCUGAAAUACAAUUCAGAUGUGACCAAGGCUCUGGCCAGAUACAAAAGCACAGGGGCUAAAUAAGCUGGAGACACCAGCUGCGGAGAGCAAAAUGAAGCCCUGCUGUUCCGAGACCUCACUUCAGCUGGAGCAGAAGUGGGGUACAGCACCCCCAGAGGGAUGCCCAGGGCUAGGCCAGGACUGGCCAUACUCUCCCCCUACCAUUGCCCCCCACCCGUUGAGCCCCUGGGCCUGGCAUCAGGUCUGAAGUUUUGUUUUCUUCCCCAGAGCAGAUCCCUUACAAUGACAUAAACACUGCCUCAGGGGCUGGAAGCAAAACUUUCCAAAGAGCUGAAAACAGAAAGUAAACAGCCAGCUGGUUCUGGCUGGCUAGGAUAGGGCUGCCAACAGAUGGCUGCUUCAGAGAUGAGUGAGGCUCCAUAGAGCCGCCUGCCUUGUUCAACUUUCACCUACUUGGCUGGCUGGCUGCCUUCCCCUCCCAGAGUCCUCUCCAAAGGCUGGGACUAGGACUUCCCUGUGCUAAAGAGAGUAGCAAACUCAGCAGCUGCAACUAAGAGCAGGGGGGAAGCGAGGAUAAGACUCGCAGACCAGGUGCCCAGCCUUGAGAGGCCAAUCCUAAAUCUGACCACCUAGCCCAGCUGCAGUGUGGCUGGGCUCCACGCUCUGAGCUCACCCUCCAUUCCUGCCUCAGAGUUCUGGUCAUGUGGUUCUCAAUACCUACAUGCUGCCUCUGUUCCUCCCCACCCUCCGAUGCCUCCCUUGCCUUCCUCCAAGAAGGCUUCCCUGACAACCGGCCUAUUCCGCAGGGCCUGUGUCACCCCUCAGCCCGGGCCUCAGUCUCCCAGCCUGCACCGUGAAGACGCCAGACUAGAUCAAGACUCUUCAACCUUCUGAACCCACUCCCUGCCAGUGAGAGGGAAGGGUUAAAGUGACACUCUUGGAACUCCUGGCUCCUCCCAGACUCUGGCCUCAGCGCUCAGGCAACUUGAGCCUAGCACCUGCCCAGCAGACCCGCAGGCCCUUUCCCUCGCGGUGCCGGCCAAACUGCAUCUGGGCCAAGGUGGGCACCAGCCAAUUCUGGCUGCUUCCCCUGACUUCUGUACACCCUUGGCCAGAGAGCUCAUCUCCUCCUCAAAGCUUUGUGUGGCCUGAAUCAGAAGCUCUUUGACCUUUGGGACUCCUCCUGGGUCUCUGCAGAGGGCUAGGGACUUGGUAGCUAAAAGAGGUGAGGUAACAGGUCAGGGCUUCUUGCCCCACGAUGGGCAGCUCAGCCAUCAGGCCUGGACCACAGGGUGAGAAGAGGACACCAGGCUCAGGAACUUCUCUUGGACUCCAACCAUCUGGUCUGGUGAUUUUAUGGAGGACUGGGCUCCUCUACCAAGACUGUGUUUCUCUUAGAUGGCUCUGGGCUUGGGGAAGGGAAACCAAGAGACAGAAGAAUUCUUUGGGCUCCUGGGAGAAAAGAAGCAGCCUCAGGACUCAAAGGCAGGCAGGCCACGGACUUCUGAGGCUAGGGCUCUACCACCUUUAGGUGGGGGCAGUGGGUCAUCCUGGGUCUCUAACUCAGGGUCUGAACUGAGCACACAAUCAACUGCUAGGGCCCUGAGCAAUGCUCUCCAUCCUCCUGGGGCUGCCCUGUGGGGUCUAACUUCCCAGGUCCCUGCGGCUCCCUGCGCCUGGUGCUAAGCUUUUGAUGAUGUCCCUAUCCCUACUAGUCCCCCCAGAAUGUAACAGCACAAGAGGGGAAGUUGUCUCAAUAAUAAUGAUGAUAAAAAUAACAAUAGUUAACAUUCAUAUAGUUCCUACUAUGUCAUGUGCUAAAAACUGCUCUAAGUACUUAACAUCUUACUCGGUUAACCCUACACAAGCUCUAGUAGGCAGGUACUGUUUCACCCAUUUUUCAGAUAAAGGAACUGAAGCACAGAAAAGGUAGGUAACUUGCACCAGGUUACACAGCUAGAAAGUGGCAAAACUGAGCUCUGAACUUAGGCUGUCUGGAUUCAGAGGCCAUGUGCCUAACCGCUAUACAAAACUGCCUGGUAGGAGAGAAGAGGGACGUAUAGCCACAAAUUACGUCCGUGUUGCCUCCUCAGACCUUGUUCAGCACCUCAGAAGGCCAGAAGCAGAGCCAGGGCAAGAAACCAGGUUUGGGCUUCCCUGGUGGCACAGUGGUUAAGAAUCCGCCUGCCAAUGCAAGGGACACAGGUUCGAGCCCUGGUCCGGGAAGAUCCCACAUGCCACGGAGCAACUAAGCCUGUGCGCCACAACUACUGAAGCCCGUGCGCCUAGAGCCCGUGCUCUGCAAUGAGAGAAGCCACUGCAAUGAGAAGCCCGCACACUGCAAUGAGAAGGGCCCCCGCUCACCGCAACUAGAGAAAGCCCGCGCGCUGCAAUGAAGACCGAACGCAGCCAUAAAAAAAAAAAGAAAAAAAAGAAACCAGGUUUGCUGACUCAGCUCCCCAGCUGCCUGGAGCACCUCGAUCCCGAUGAUGUCUGAAACACUGUGGUCUGGCCAAGUGGAGGUGAGAACUCUAAGGUGGGGUGGGAGUUGGACAACUCAAGGCUUUCAAGGGGACACUUGUGCCUGGCCUUGUUGCCGACCUCCUGCCUCCUACACACACUCCUCAUGAACAGUAGCAUCUGGCUCCAGGCCUGUGGUUAGUCCAGGAGCUCAGAUGACAGGUUGAUUCUUGCUCUUUACUUCUGAUUCCUAUCCUGACUGCUUUGGUCCAGGCUGAUCUCUCCCCAGCUCUGACCUCCUCUCUAGCACAUCCUGUUUGUACUUCCCAGUUACCACAUUCUGUUGAUUCUCUGAAAGGUUUCUUUUCUCCAAAUCCACAGCCUUCAAAGCCUUUCCUUCAUCUUUGCUGAAUUCUACUCAUGCCACCGUACAUGGCUCUGUCUUCCUUUCCCUGUACGCAUUCUCUUUGUUUUGUUUUACUUAAGUGCUAAUAUAGGCUAAUGUCAUUUGAGAAAGUUAGUGAGUGGUUUGGUGGCCAGUGCCUCUCAAGGAACUGUGACCUCCCUGAAGAGGGUCCAUGGCACCACGUCUAGCACUUUAAGCACGACGGGCGCUUGGUGGAGUUGGUGGAACUUACAUAUAAAGCUUAGUCCCCUGGGGAACUGUAAGCUUUGGCGGGGGAGAGGACCACAGCUCCUUCUCUGUCUACUUCUGCACCUAGCUCAGGACUAUUGGCUUUGUAAUUUGCUGAAAGAUGUACAUUUCAAGUUAGAGGCCCAAACUACUUUCCUACUCUCUGGCCUGCCUGUCCUCAGACCCACCUCGGGCUCUCCUAGUCAUCGAUGGUAAGUUACUGGAGGGUUCUGAGUGGAGAAGUCACAUGAUUUAUUGAUGAUUUACUUAACAUCUUAAAAACUUAACAGGAUACUGUAUGGGGAAUGGGGGCAAGGGUAGAAGCAGAAAGGCAAGUUUGGAGGCUCCUGCAACAAUCUAGGCGAGAGAUGAUGACAGUUUAGACCAGGUAGUGGUGGGAGUGGUGAGCAGUGGAUGGAUCUGAAUUUAGAGGUAGAGCUGCCAGAAUUUCCUGGUGGAUUGGAAAUCAAGGCAUCAGAGAGGAUUCAAAGGGUUUUGGCAGGAACAACUAAACUAGAAGGAUAGAAUAUCUAUUAACUGAGAUGGGGAAGACCAAGGAACAGAGCUGAGGAAUGAAAUCUGGAGUUGAGUUUGGAUAUAUUGAGUAGGCAGCUGGACAUACGAGCCUAGAGUUAGAGGAGAGGUCUGGGCUAAGAUAAUCAUUAUGAGUCUUCGGCAUAUAGAGGGGAUUUAAAGCCUUGAGAUCAGACAGGAUCAUCUAGAAAGUAAGUGUAAAUAGAGAAGUCUAAAGACCACACCCUGGUCACCCCUAUUAACAAGUAGGGGAAAUGAAGGAGAACCAGCAAAGGCAGCUGAGCAGGAGCUGCCAACAAGGGAAGAAGAGAACCAAGAAGCACUGAUGCCUUAGAAACAAGUGAAGAAAAUGUUUACAGGAGAGAGAUCAACUGUGUCACAUGCCGCUGAGAGAUCAAAGAAACUGGGCACUCAGAUUUAAUAACUGGUUUAGGAAUAUGGAGGGUUUUUUUUUGGAUUUUGAAAACCUUGAAGAGUCCCCCCCUCCUCCGGUGGUAGAGUGGGGUAAGAGUCAGAUUACAGUGGCCAAUCACACUGGCUUCAGUAUGGAGACACAUGGUGGUGGGAAAGUGUGGCUGUGAGUAAGAGUAGUUAGAAACAGCUAUGGGGGAAACAACUGGGGCUAGAUAAUGAAAUGGUGAGAAGUGAGUGGAUUCAAAGAUAUUUAGGGGACAGAAUUCACAGGCCUUGGUGAUGGUGGGUUGUGGGGGAUAAAGGUGUAGGAGGAGGGGAAGACGACACACAUGCUCUGGCAGGGGUAACUACACGACCGUGGUCGUGUUUACUGAGAUAAGGAACGCUGGCGGUAGAGGGGGUGUGCAAAGGAAGAUGACAAGCUCAAGGUCUGGAUGUGCUGAAUUGUUUGUAACAUCAAGUAAAGGCUUCUAGGAUGUAGGUGGAUCCAUGUGUGUCUGCAGCAUGGCAGAGAAGUCUGGACUGAAGAUAAGGAUUUGAGAGUCAUCAAACUGUAAUAAUAACUGAAAUAAUUGAAGUGGUUGAAAUUUCCCCAAAGAAACAUCUACAAGAGCAGAAGACGUUAAGUCUGGGGAAAACAACAUGUACAUUAGUGCUAUCUCAUCCUCGACCUCCCCUUUUAGAGAAGUUGAUAAAACUAGUUUGCCCCUGGCAGCUAAGCAAACAGAAUCAGAAGUAACUAUACAUAAAACUAGGGAGCUGUCCCAUUGAAGAGUUACUUUAUCACAAAGAGGAAAGAGAAAGCAGAGGCAGCAGAACCUGACUGAUUCAUAAGGAAUUUCAAAGGUGCCACUGGAUGGCUGUUCGAUGGUCCUGCUAGACCCGCCAUCCUCCUCCCUCCUUUGCUUCUUGAAGAGGUGACAACCAGAAGAUGAAACAGUCAUGAGGAAGGGGGGCUGAGAGCUGGCCUCUAUACCCUAUCUGUGUGACACCUGGUGCUCUUCAGUGCAACCAUGCUUUGAGGCCUGAUCACCCCAUCUGACAGAUGACACAGACUCAGAAAAAUCAGAAGACUUGACGAAGUUCACACAGAGAACCGUAUCCACUAUACUGUGGGGAAAAGGGGAAAACACCUGUUUCACAAAUGCUAGAAAUGGAGACUGUCUGGGAGGUUCCUGGGUUCAGGUGCAUUUUUCAGUGUGGUUGAAGGAUUAGGCCUUCCCUUAAAUCUUGUGGUGGAGCCAGGUGAGCUAAGUAUAGCUGUCCCAGGACACUGGGUGAGAAGAGUCAGCCUCUCAAAAUGCUCCUCUUCAGCCUUCAGAGCCUUAGGAAGAGUCAAAAUAGAUGGAAUCCUCAAGUUGGGAGUACAGGACAAGGCUCCUGCCCUCCCCUGCCCACCUCUCACUUUGAGCUGUUGACUGUGCCUGAAACAUAGCCACAAAUAGAAGACAGAAGAGAAAACAGGGACUUCCCUGGCAGUCCAGUGGUUAGGACUCUGUGCUUCCAAUGCCAGGGGUGUGGGUUCGAUCCCUGGUCGGGCAACUAGGAUAUCGAAUGCCAAAUGGCAUGGCCAAAAUAAAUAAAUAAAUAAAUAAAUGGACAUAAGAGAAAAUAGAAGCUUCCAUCAAAUGGGAAACUCUAUCACCAAAUCUAAUCCUACCUGCUUUAGCACCCAUCUUCUCUGUCUGCCUGUAUGCUUGUAUGCUAUAGGGUGAGUUUUCUUUUUCUUCUCAACAGGCUAAUAUCUCCACAUGUGCUCUGGAUCCAGGGACUAGUCUUUCUAUUCUCUCCCUCUCCUGCAUCUUCCCUUCUUCUUUUCUCUACUGCUCACUGCACUGCUGUACAGAAAAAGCUGAAGCCUUUCCCAAAUAAAAAAAAACAAAACAAAAAACCAAAAAAACUUACCUUAUCUCAGAUGCUACCCCACCCGCUAUCCUAUACUUCUGAUCCAUAUUCACAGCCAAAUCUAUGGAAGGACUUGGUGUCUCCAUUUUGUCACCAUUCAAUCAUUCUUACAAUUUAAAUUACAUACGAUUUUGUGAUUUCAUGGUGUAAUAUACCAAAGAAUACUAACAUAUUUAAAUUAUGAAGCAUGAUAAAAAUGAACAUCAAUAAACCCACAACCCAACCUAAGAACUAAAGCAUUGUUAAUACUGUUGAAUAGACCUAUGUGCUCUUCCUCCCCCAUCCUAUUCCCAGCCUCUGCAACUGUGAACAUCAUAGUCAAACUGUUGAAAACCAAAGAAAAAAAUCUUAAAAGUAGCCAAAGAACAAAGGUCACAUAACAUUCCGGGCAACAACAAUAAGGAUGAUAGCUGCUUCUCAUCAGAAACAAUGGAGGUCAGUAGAAUGUGGAGUGAUAGUUCUAAAAUGCUAAAACAGGUAAUACCCUGGCCGUCCAGUAGUUAGGAUGUGGAGCUUUCAUUGCUGAGGGCCAGGGUUCAAUCCCUGGUUGGGGAACUAAGAUCCCACAAGCUGCAUGGCGUGCCCAAAAUUAAAAAUGAAUGAAUGAAUGAAUAAAAUGCUAAAACAAACACAAUUCAAGUUAGAAUUCUAUAUCCAGUGAAAAAGUAUCUUUGAAAAAUGAAGGCAAAAUACAUUUCAGCCAAUUGAAGCUGAGAGCAUCAGCUCCCAGUAGGUCUGCACUACAUGAAAUUCUAAAGGAAGUUCUUCAUGCUGAAGGGAAAUGGUAAUAAACUGAGACCAGGGUGUGAAGAAGGAAUGAAGCCAAGAGCAUAAGUUGCAGAAAACGUGCUGCUACAAACACAUCAAGUAGUGAGGAAGGCUCAUCACCAGUGAGGACAACGAACACCCUGAUGUUUCCUGGAUUGUGGGACUUUCAAUGCUGAAAAUGAGACAGCUCGGGCGAACUGUGAUGACUGGCUACCCUAACUAGGACCCCGAAUAAGGUCCUGAGGAGGGAGCUGUUCCUGAGAGCAGCAGACAAACAAUGGAGUUUUGCUGUGGGCAAGAAAGAGAAAAGGCUACAAAGUGUAUGAGACUUUAUCUUCUCAAAACUAGACUUGCCCUUUAACUGAAGUAAACAUUAUUACAUCCCUCUCCCACCCUUUGUAUCUUAUGUUUAAUAGAUCAAAGAUAAUAAGUCCCCCCAGGAGCUGGCACAUCAUGAAGGCAGAAACACAAAAGCAGGAACAGCACAAAAGCAGGAACAGCAGUUCCAUUUGGCAGUUGAGAGCUGAUAGCUCAGACACAGUGACUCACAGACCUCCCUUCCUACAAGGCACAUCUCGCCCACUUGGCUGGGAGGGGAAGAGGGAAAGGAAACUAACAGUGUCUGCGUUUUUCCUCUAGGGUAAUUCUUGUCAUCCUCUUAUUAGGUAAGAAUUCUAUUAGCCUGAUGUUACUUUAAAAAAAACCAAGACUCAGAAAGGUCAAGUCACUUGCCCAAGAUCACUUAGCCACGUCGCAGAUUCAGUAUUUCAUAUCAUAGAUGUCUUGUUCAAAAGCUUGUGCUUGGUGCUGGACACAGCCCUGCUACCCUAGCAUAAGUGCUGACGUGAAUACAUGGGGCAUGCAAGGGAAGAUGCAGAGUAGAAGGAGAUGAACUGGUGACCUGAACCAGAGUAGAAAUAAGGCCACGGAAAUGCAGAGCUUCUGGUGGGGACUGGCACCUCUCCUCCUCUAGGACAGGAAUACAAAUUUGAUAAAAACUGAGAUGUGUGGGAAUUUACACUUAUCAAUGUGCCAAAGAAAUGAGGUGUCCUCAAAAUGAUGCUGGGGAAGCUGGGGGAGAAGUGGGGAAGGAAACCAGUAAAAGAACUAGACAUCUUAUGGCUUCUCUUUAGGACUAUACCCCUAGGCUCCCAGGAUACUUCUGGACUGACCCCAUCUGUCAUCAAAGUAGGCCCUGGAAGAGCAUUAAAAAAUGUUUAAACGUUAACUGCAAAAUGAAACCUAUAUAAAGAAGGCAAAUUAGCUAGAAAAAUAUACCGUAAGCCAAGUGUCAUGAUUUUAAAGUGGUGCAACGGAAAGCACAGAGUUUGCAGUCAUACUGGUUGGGAGACCCUGGGUAGGUGACAACCUACUUAACCUUUAUGUGUCUCAGUUUCUACAGAAUAGAAACUAUAAUACCUUGUAAGUCUGUAUGGGAAGUUCUGUAUGGGAACCUCAGUUUUCUCAUCUAUUAAAUGGGGAUAACAAUAGUACCCCUCUUAUUGGGUUCUUGGGAGAAUUAAAUCAGUUUACACAUGUAAAAUGCUUAGAAUAAUGUCUAGUGCACGGUAAGCAUUACAUAGGAGUUGGCUAUUAUAAUUAACAAAUAAGCUAAUACAUUUUGCUCAUAGCAUGUAUUAUUCUCUCAAAUUGUUUUUUUCAAAGCUCCACAAUCCACCUCCUAGAGUAAUGAAAAUAAAAACAAAAAUAAACAAAUGGGACCUAAUUAAACUUAAAAGCUUUUGCACAGCAAAGGAAACUAUAAACAAAACGAAAAGACAACCCACAAAAUGGGAGAAAAUAUUUGCAAAUGAAGUGACCGACAAGGGAUUAAUAUCCAAAAUAUACAAACAGCUCAUGCAGCUCAACAUCAAAAAAACCAAACAACCCAAUCAAAAAAUGGGCAGAAGAUCUAAAUAGACAUUUCUCCAAAGAACACAUACAGAUGGCCAAAAAGCACAUGAAAAGAUGCUCAACGUGGCUAAUUAUUAGAGAAAUGCAAAUCAAAGCCACAAUGAGAUAUCAACCUUACAGCGGUCAGGAUGGCCAUCAUCAAAAAGACUACAAACAACAAAUGCUGGCGAGGGUGUAGAGAAAAGGGAACACUCCUACACUGUUGGUGGGAAUGUAUGUUGGU